rnacentral:lncRNA from 1 species
GUGGUUGUCCUCAGUCGUGUGUGGUGCUUGUGGAGGAAACGAAUGGUUGUCGUACGUCUGCAAUCGAAAAAGAUUGUGUGCACAAACGGGCAAACGUACGUUGAUGAACAAAAGUUGAACUAACGAUUGGAUGCUGACGAACGAAAGUUGAACUAACAAUCUAGGAGGUGGUGGCGCACAAACGGAUGUUGGAGAUCAGCGAAGCCAAAUGUAUGUACA